UGGCUAAGUGGUUAAAGCACUGGGCUGUUAACCAGAAGGUCGGUGGUUUGAACCCACC
rnacentral:tRNA from 1 species